CAUAAAAAAAAUCUCGAGCUAUGAAAUAAGUUUUAGAAUACCAUUUGCUUGAUAAUUUUGAGGCUGUACAGUGCAACUAAAAAUUUUCAGUGCAUUCAAUUUAUAAUAAGGUAUUUAAAUUCUUCAUACUUCUAACUUCAAUUGAUCAAGAGCAGAAAUGGACAAGAAAGACGAAAAAAAACCCGGAGAACCUGGUAAACCAGGUGAGCAUGGUAAGCCCGGCGAAAAAAAGCCCGAUGAUAAAACGAAAUCACCAGAAAAGAAAUAAACGAAAAGAAUAAAUGAAAAAGAAAAAGAAAUAAAGUGAGUACUCUUAUCAGAUUUUAAAGAUUGAUAAAACUGUACUAACACUGAAGAUCUUCAUAAUAAAUGCAUUCAUAUUCCAGUAAAGCCACCUAUAAUUCCUUUCGAAAUUCAAUUCCUUAAAACUUUAUUUUCUAAAUUCAUUAUAUUUUCAAAUUUUCCGAAUGUAAAAGCCACGUUAGAAUAAACUGUCUAAAA